ACUGAUGUUCUUAUAAGAGGCAGAGACACCAGGAUGUGUACACACAGAGAAAAACCAACUGCAAGCCAAAGAGAGCAACCUCAGGAGGAACCAAACCUGAGGACACCUUAACCUUGGACUCCGAGCCUCCAGACUGUGAGACAGAAAACUGGUGGAGUCUAAGCCACUUUGUCUUGGGAGAGAAAAAGAAUCCGAGACAAAUUUAAAGCCCAUUGCAGACUUCUCUGGAAGAAAGUUAAGGAAAGAGGCAACAGGAAUCUGCCUGAUGUUGGGACUGCCAAUUGGAACAUGAAAAGGAUGGAGGAAAUGAACAUAUCCUCCCCGUCCACAGCACCCCUGCUCUUGGUGUCCAGGGUGGCUUGGAAGUGGAGGCUGCGCAAGCGGGUUUUGUAUUCGGGAACGGAUAGCAUCUGUCAUGAAGGCAAAGCCAGGAUUCACCCGCCCCACCAGGAGACCCACUGCCCCACCGCAGCCUGGGGUGGGGGUCAGCCGGCAAACCGGCAUUCCCUCGAGAAAGAAUAAGCCCCCAAAGGAAGCACAAUCCCAUCUACCUUGGACUCCAGGAGGGAACCGGACGUUAAUGGGACACAGGCACGGGCGCAGCGGCCGUGGGGGAGCGGGACCCACACAGCCCCGGUACAACGAGGGCCCCGACAGAGGCGGCCAAGGCCACUGGGCAGCACCCCUGACCCCUGGCGGCCGUCACGGCCGCAGCACCUGCAGGACGAACUGGUCGGGCUCG